rnacentral:rRNA from 1 species
CAGCCGUAAACUAUGCGCGUUAGGUGUACUGGUGACCACGAGUCACCGGGGUGCCGAAGGGAAACCGUGAAACGUGCCGCCUGGGAAGUACGGUCGCAAGGCUGAAACUUAAAGGAAUUGGGCGGGGGAGCACCACAACGGGUGGAGCCUGCGGUUUAAUUGGACUCAACGCCGGGAAGCUCACCGGAUAGGACAGCAGAAUGAUUGCCGGGCUGAAGACCCUGCAUGACUAGCUGAGAGGAGGUGCAUGGCGUCAGUGACU